AUUGAUGUAGGAAUUAUGCGAUGAAAUUAAGUGAGUAAAUUAAUUUAUGGAUUAAUGUAAUAUUGGAGGGAGAAGCUGAACAAGGGAAAGUGAACGAGUUUUCCUUAAUACGACGCCGUAGAACGCGAUCCGCCGCCAUGUAUUCACGUAGCCAGACCACUCCUACGCAGCGGCUCCAAAACCUCGAAAAGAGAACAACGAGGUUAGCAGAGCUAGCCUACGAGGUAAUGGAAGAAAUGGCAAACCCUAGUGGGCCCACACAUGAUCUUUUAAGCAGCCAUUUCAGUGACUUCAAGCAAUUAGCCCAGGACACGAAGAAAUUAAAAGCAUAUACGAGUAUCGUCCGUUUGAGAAGUGCCGCUAUCUUCCAAGAAUAUCAAACGAGAUUCCUUGGGAGAAACUAGAGUUCAUCGCCGCACGGCUUGGUGAAAUAAAGCAUCAAAUUGGGAAGAUGCUAUGUGAAAUAGAAAGCGUGCUACUGAAGAAAAUGUAUGAAAAUUUAUUUUUGAGUUCAUUUUGAAUUUCGUUUCGCUUAAUGGUCUUUCUAUCCCAAUUUCCCGUUGCUAUUCGAAUCCAUCUCCAUUUAUGAUGUCUGUUUUGAGUAUUCAAUGUUUAUGAUCGAUAAAAUGUUGACACAACAACUCAUAAUAAAUAUCUGAAAAAAAACCCAAUCAAUAUCCCGGAUCUGCUAGAUAUAAUUCUUAUUCGCUGCAGAAAAUGACGAUCUUUUACAUGAUCUAAUUUUGCUUAAGCAAAAUUUUCUCUGAUAUGCUUAUCUAACGCUAGUAACUCAUCUGAUUUCAUUUCUGCACCGGCCAUCUUUCGGCUGUUUCUGUGAAUGCUCGACGCUUCAGUUGGUGGACAUCUUUCAUUCUCUGGUACAUUUGUUGGAUCUCCUCUUUUCAGGGCAUCGUAGGUGAGGAAUCUUGAUUCUGCUGCUUCAAGAACAAUGGCGGAUAUUAACAGGACGCGAAGAAUGACGCCGAUGACUUUUUGGUUAGCCAUUGCCUUGAGAUAUUCCGAAUACUAUCUCGCAAAUGGGGUUCGAAUAUAUAAAGACUCGCAAGCUAAGGACUUGCCGAGAUUUUUUGUGUUUUUGAACUGGUGACAGCUCGAUGCUGAUGGUAGAAAAUUAAAUAGAAUCGACGAGCACGAUUCUUGAAAGUGUGGACAAAUGUCAUGUGGUUGUGUAUAUAUAUAUAUAUACAUGGGUUUGAUGUCCAUUUGAGGUGAGAAAUUAGUUGCUAAAAAGCCAGAGGCUAUAUGAAUUGCUAAUGCCAGAAUUUAAUGGCUUUGGUUUUCAUUCAAUUUUAGGCAAUCAGACAUGAUUGCACUUAA